rnacentral:rRNA from 1 species
GACGAACGCUGGCGGCGUGCUUAACACAUGCAAGUCGAACGGAAAGGCCCUGCUUUUGUGGGGUGCUCGAGUGGCGAACGGGUGAGUAACACGUGAGUAACCUGCCCUUGACUUUGGGAUAACUUCAGGAAACUGGGGCUAAUACCGGAUAGGAGCUCCUGCUGCAUGGUGGGGGUUGGAAAGUUUCGGCGGUUGGGGAUGGACUCGCGGCUUAUCAGCUUGUUGGUGGGGUAGUGGCUUACCAAGGCUUUGACGGGUAGCCGGCCUGAGAGGGUGACCGGCCACAUUGGGACUGAGAUAAGGCCCAGACUCCUACGGGAGGCAGCAGUGGGGAAUAUUGCACAAUGGGCGGAAGCCUGAUGCAGCAACGCCGCGUGCGGGAUGACGGCCUUCGGGUUGUAAACCGCUUUCGCCUGUGACGAAGCGUGAGUGACGGUAAUGGGUAAAGAAGCACCGGCUAACUACGUGC